UACAGAGGGUGCAACCGUUGUUCGGAAUGACUGGGCGUAAAGGGCGCGUAGGCGGCCUGCUAAGUCGAACGUGAAAUCCCUGGGCUCAACCCAGGAACUGCGUCCGAUACUGGUUGGCUUGAAUCCGGGAGAGGGAUGUGGAAUUCCAGGUGUAGCGGUGAAAUGCGUAGAUAUCUGGAGGAACACCGGUGGCGAAGGCGACAUCCUGGACCGGCAUUGACGCUGAGGCGCGAAAGCCAGGGGAGCAAACGGG
rnacentral:rRNA from 1 species